rnacentral:rRNA from 1 species
UAGGGUGCGAGCGUUGUCCGGAAUUAUUGGGCGUAAAGGGUCCGCAGGUGGCAAUGUAAGUCUGCUGUCAAAGAAUGAGGCUUAACCUCAUCAAGGCAGUGGAAACUACAUAGCUAGAGUACGGUCGGGGUAGAAGGAAUUCCUGGUGUAGCGGUGAAAUGCGUAGAGAUCAGGAAGAACACCGGUGGCGAAAGCGUUCUGCUAGACCUGUACUGACACUGAGGGACGAAAGCUAGGGGAGCGAAUGGG